rnacentral:rRNA from 1 species
CCUACGGGAGGCUGCAGUGGGGAAUAUUGGGCAAUGGAGGCAACUCUGACCCAGCAAUGCCGCGUGAGUGAUGAAGGUAAUUUUAUUGUAAAGCUCUUUUCUUUGGAACGAAUAAAUUACGGUACCAAAGGAAUAAUCCCCGGCUAACUACGUGCCAGCAGCCGCGGUCAUACGUAAGGGGCAAGCGUUGAUCGGAAUGACUGGGGGGAAAGGGUGUGUAAGUGGUUUGGUAAGGUAAGUUGGGAAUUCCCGGGGCUUAACUGGGAUACUGGAUCUGAAACUGGUAGACUUGAGUACUGGAGAGGAUAGUGGAAUUCCUGGUGUAGCGGUGAAAUGCGUAGAUAUUAGGAAGAACACCAGGGGCGAAGGCGACUAACUGGACAGCAACUGACACUGAGGCACGAAAGCGUGGGGAGCAAACAGGAUUAGAUACCCCUGUAGUC